rnacentral:rRNA from 1 species
GACGAACGCUGGCGGCGCGCCUAACACAUGCAAGUCGAACGAGCGAGAGAGAGCUUGCUUUCUCGAGCGAGUGGCGAACGGGUGAGUAACGCGUGAGGAACCUGCCUCAAAGAGGGGGACAACAGUUGGAAACGACUGCUAAUACCGCAUAAGCCCACGGGUCGGCAUCGACCAGAGGGAAAAGGAGCAAUCCGCUUUGAGAUGGCCUCGCGUCCGAUUAGCUAGUUGGUGAGGUAAUGGCCCACCAAGGCGACGAUCGGUAGCCGGACUGAGAGGUUGAACGGCAGCAGGGGGCAUGAGACACGGCCAAGACUCCCAGGGGGGGAGGCAGGGGGGAAUAUGGAAAAAGGGGGGAAACCGGGAGGCGGCGGCGCGGGGGGGAGAAAGAGGGUGUUCGGAUGGAAAACUCUUGUUGUGGGGAAAGAAAAUGAGGGUCCCCAAAAGGGAGUGGACGCCAAACUAGGCC